AUGCCUAACGAUGAUGGUUUGUUCCCUCCCCUUUUCAGUCCUGUCUUUGAGGCUGCAACACUGAGCACUUACUUGUGUACCUCUAUCCUUCUCCUUGUAAUACUGUCACCAUGUGCGACAUCGGACACAUGGAUGGACUACCAGAGAAAGGACCUACUCGGCACAUCCCGAGUCCCUCUGUUCAUCCAGCCAAGCCAUACAAUCGUGGAAGUUAUUAAUGCAACUAAUGUACACAGAAAACCAACACAAGGAUACCAGACUGUUGGUUGCUUUCAGACUUGCCUGGAGGAACUGGCGACAAAAUACUCAGAAACCAAAUUUGUGAAAAUAAUUUACAGAGACUGUAUUCGAACUUCCCAGAUAGGAAUGUUCCUACAAUACUGGUGUACAACGAUAGUGCUAUCAAAGGGACUUGUGUCGGUCUGCAGAAGUUUGUUGAAAGAAACUUACACCUAA
rnacentral:rRNA from 1 species